AGCAGCCGCGGUAAUUCCAGCUCCAAUAGCGUAUAUUAAAGUUGUUGCAGUUAAAAAGCUCGUAGUUGAAUUUCAGGCCUGGCUGGACGGUCCGCCCUUCGGGUGAGUACUGUCUGUGGUCGGGUCCUACCUUCUGGCGAAGCGUCAUGGCCUUAACCGGCCGUGGCGGGGAACCAGAACUUUUACUGUGAAAAAUUAGAGUGUUCAAAGCAGGCAAUCGCUUGGAUACAUUAGCAUGGAAUAAUGGAAUAGGACAAUGGUUCUAUUUGUUGGUUUCUAGGACCGUUGUAAUGAUUAAUAGGGAUAGUUGGGGGCAUUAGUAUUCAAUUGUCAGAGGUGAAAUUCUUGGAUUUAUUGAAGACUAACUACUGCGAAAGCAUUUGCCAAGGAUGUUUUCAUUAAUCAAGAACGAAAGUUAGGGGAUCGAAGACGAUCAGAUACCGUCGUAGUCUUAACCAUAAACUAUGCCGACU
rnacentral:rRNA from 1 species